GAUGAACGCUGGCGGCGUGCUUAAUACAUGCAAGUCGAGCGAACAGACGAGGAGCUUGCUCCUCUGUCGUUAGCGGCGGACGGGUGUGUAACACGUGGAUAACCUACCUAUAUGACUGGGAUAACUUCGGGACACCGGAGCUAAUACCGGAUAAUAUAUUGAACCGCAUGGUUCAAUAGUGAAAGACGGUUUUGCUGUCACUUAUAGAUGGAUCCGCGCCGCAUUAGCUAGUUGGUAAAGUAACGGCUUACCAAGGCAACGAUGCGUAACCGACCUGAGAGGGUGAUCGGGGACUGCGGCAGUGCACCACGGUCCAGAGUCCGACAGAAGGCAGCAGUACGGAAUGUAGCGCGAUGGGCGGAAGCUUGACCGAGGGGCGCCGCGUGAAUGAAGAGACUCUUCGGAUGGGAGAACUCUGUUAGUAGGGGAGAACAAAUGCGUCAGCAACUAUGCGCGUCAUGACGGUACCUAGUCAGAAAGCCCCGGCUAACUACGUG
rnacentral:rRNA from 1 species